GCCCUUCCUCCUCAGCUCCUCCAGGAACCGCUGCCGCUGCUGGUCCCGCUCAGGGUUUGUCUGGGCACGAUCAGCCACGAGGACAUAGUCCCACGGCUCCGAGGCCUCGGUCUGCAGGGAGGAGUGGAAAGCUGUUCUCUUCAUCCUGGUGUGGGGGCGACAGAGAGAGGGACGUGACCGUUCCUACAAUGCGGUGCCUCUGGGCCAUGCGCUUAGGCCCCGCAGGGUUAACACACAGAGCUGGGGGGAGAGGCUGCCAGGGGAAACCCCCAUGAACCAUCUGUGCUCAGGUAAGUCCAGGUAGCAGUGAGUGCCCUGAUGGCAGUGAGAUGGGCUGAAGGUUCGUAUUGGAAAGUACAUAAAAAACUCCAGCAAAUCGACCCCGUCUAAGCAAGGGACAAAAGGCCCCAAAGGUUUCCACAGAAGAGGAGCAAGGGACAGGAGUGGGGCUGCCCUGGGCCAUGGGGCGAGGGGGCGCCGCCCCCACCCUGGGGUCUGCAGACACUGAGGACCGCGCUGCCGAUGCUGGGGGAGCAUUUGGGAUUGCGGUUAACGUUGAACCUUCCUACACCCUACGACCCACCGCCAGACGUGGACAAACCUGCCAGCAACUCACACGGAUAUGACACUGGAUCUGCUCUGUGGGAGGCACAGCCUGCAGGGGGGCGGCUGGAGCCCCCUCCCCGGUGGGCCCCGUGCUCCGCGUGGGGAGAGGAAACGCCCGGCAGACCCCCCCGACCCCACUGACCAAGGUCACGAGACAGUGAGACCCCAGGCAGGAGUGCUGAGAAGGCUUGUCCCUCGCCCCAGCCAUCGUCCCAGCGCGGGGACGGCCACCAACGCCUGACGCCCCUCAGCAGCGUCCAGGUCGCCGAGGACGAGGAAGGACAGAGGGCUGCCCCUGACGGGGGACUAAGGAGACGUGAGCAGUACAGCUUUGGGGGGUCCAUGGGCCCUGGAAGUACACCGCGGGCAGGCGGGUGACGCCCAGGUGACGCCCGGGUGACACCCGAGCUCCCGGCGCUGCCCCAUGGGGCCUCGGCAUCCUCACCCGACGCGAAAGACACCAACGCUGGGGAGGGGCCCGUGGCGCUCAGGCCCUGCAACCCUUCUGCAAAUCUAAACCUUUUUCAAAUGAAAAGUUUUUUUUUAAAAAGUAA